CAGAUAUUAGUUUAAAUAAAAUAUUAAUUUUGGAGAUUAAUGAAAAAAAAAUUUUUUUAUAUCUGA
rnacentral:tRNA from 1 species